rnacentral:rRNA from 1 species
GAUCCUGGCUCAGGAUGAACGCUGGCGGCGUGCCUAAUACAUGCAAGUAGAACGCUGAAGGAAGGAGCUUGCUCUUUCCGGAUGAGUUGCGAACUGGUGAGUAACGCGUAGGUAACCUGCCUGGUAGCGGGGGAUAACUAUUGGAAAUGAUAGCUAAUACCGCAUAACAGUAGAUGUUGCAUGACAUUUACUUGAAAGGUGCAAUUGCACCACUACCAGAUGG